rnacentral:tRNA from 1 species
ACCCUGAUGGGAGAGUGAGGAAGCAGGGACUGAAAAUCCAUGUGUCGCUGGUUCGAUUCCAGCUGGUACCA